rnacentral:rRNA from 1 species
AUUGAACGCUGGCGGCAUGCCUUACACAUGCAAGUCGAACGGCAGCACGGGUGCUUGCACCUGGUGGCGAGUGGCGGACGGGUGAGUAAUACAUCGGAACAUGUCCUGUAGUGGGGGAUAGCCCGGCGAAAGCCGGAUUAAUACCGCAUACGAACUACGGAUGAAAGCGGGGGACCUUCAGACCUCGCGCUAUGGGAUUGGCCGAUGGGUGAUUCGCUAGUUGGUGGGGUAAAGGCCUACCAAGGCGACGAUCAGUAGCUGGUCUGAGAGGACGACGAGCCAAACGGGGAUGGAGACACGGCCAAGACUCCUACGGGAGGAAGCAGUGGGGAAUUUUGGACAAUGGGCGAAAGCCUGAUCCAGCAAUGCCGCGUGUGUGAAGAAGGCCUUCGGGUUGUAAAGCACUUUUGUCCGGAAAGAAAUCCUUGGCCCUAAUACGGUCGGGGGAUGACGGUACCGGAAGAAUAAGCACCGGCUAACUACGUG